rnacentral:rRNA from 1 species
UACGUAGGUCCCGAGCGUUGUCCGGAUUUAUUGGGCGUAAAGCGAGCGCAGGUGGUUUAUUAAGUCUGGUGUAAAAGGCAGUGGCUCAACCAUUGUAUGCAUUGAAAACUGGUAGACUUGAGUGCAGGAGAGGAGAGUGGAAUUCCAUGUGUAGCGGCGAAAUGCGUAGAUAUAUGGAGGAACACCGGUGGCGAAAGCGGCUCUCUGGCCUGUAACUGACACUGAGGCUCGAAAGCGUGGGGAGCAAACAGG